rnacentral:rRNA from 1 species
CCUACGGGUGGCUGCAGUGGGGAAUAUUGGACAAUGGGGGGAACCCUGAUCCAGCCAUGCCGCGUGUGUGAAGAAGGCCCUCGGGUUGUAAAGCACUUUCAGUGAGGAAGAACGCCUGGUGGUUAAUACCCAUCAGGAAAGACAUCACUCACAGAAGAAGCACCGGCUAACUCCGUGCCAGCAGCCGCGGUAAUACGGAGGGUGCGAGCGUUAAUCGGAAUUACUGGGCGUAAAGCGCGCGUAGGUGGCUUGAUAAGCCGGUUGUGAAAGCCCCGGGCUCAACCUGGGAACGGCAUCCGGAACUGUCAAGCUUGAGUGCAGGAGAGGAAGGUAGAAUUCCCGGUGUAGCGGUGAAAUGCGUAGAGAUCGGGAGGAACACCAGUGGCGAAGGCGGCCUUCUGGACUGACACUGACACUGAGGUGCGAAAGCGUGGGUAGCAAACAGGAUUAGAUACCCGAGUAGUC